rnacentral:rRNA from 1 species
UACGAACCGUGCGAACGUUAUUCGGAAUCACUGGGCUUAAAGCGCGUGUAGGCGGGGCGGCACGUCGGUCGCUGAAAUCCCCCGGCUUAACCGGGGAACGGGCGCCGAUACGACCGCCCUGGAGGGACGUAGGGGGACCUGGAACUUCCGGUGGAGCGGUGAAAUGCGUUGAGAUCGGAAGGAACGCCCGUGGCGAAAGCGAGGUCCUGGACGUUUUCUGACGCUGAGACGCGAAAGCCAGGGGAGCGAACGGG